rnacentral:tRNA from 1 species
GCUUAUUUGGUGAAAUUGGUAUACACGAGAGAUUUAAAAUUUCUUUUCUACACAGAAGUAUUGGUUCAAGUCCAAUAAUAAGCA